CUUCAGGUCCUCCUGGGAAACGUGGACGGAUGGGCAGAAGAGGCGACCCUGGACCCCCAGGCAAACCUGGGCGAGACGGUUACCCGGGUCCACUCGGUCUGGAUGGCAAACCUGUGAGUAUUCCUA